GGCAAGUGCUUUUUGCUGGAGGUGUUGCCGAAUGCUGACGUCUAUUAGUAUUUACUUUAACAAACAACUUGCCUAGUCUUGUUCAUUCACUGAUGAGUUAGAGGUUAAACUGAUGAGGAUGGAUGCUCUCUGGUUGUCAUGGUGAUAACAAUCAAUGAUAAUAACAAGAGUGAGAGUUAGUAGUGCAUUAUGGGCCAAGUGUUGCAAAUAAGUCUAUAGAUUGUAUACAGUGUGAAUAGGUAGAAUGUCUCGAGGUUUACUUGUUAUAAUAAGGAAGACGUAGUGGCUACAUUGAGUAAGGUGCUGGCUCACUAACCAUUUUGGCCAAGAAAGUUUCCCAAAAUUUUCCUGUGUGGUUCCCUUCUCCAGUGGUUCAGGAUAGCAUCUAGUCAUUCUGUUGGGACAAAAAAAAAACAACCAAGUUUCCGUGUACACUGUACACUAAAUUGUUUCACAGAACUGAAACAAAUAUUAAGUGAUAAUUGCAGCACAGUACAAUAAUAAAAAGAGAUUUGACCUUAUCCUAGUUACUGAGAUAGAAUGAUGGAUUAUUGUGUGAAAAUACAGAUCAGUUACUACUAAAAUAAUAACUCCAACUCUGUAAACCAGCUUCUGUAAAUGGUUAAAUACAAGAAUUUGUGAAGGAUAAAAUAUAAAUUGAUCAUAGAUGAACGUAUUUAUGAUGGAAAGAAGAAGAAGAAUAUUUUCUUGAUGAUUCAACAGUCUAACUGAUGGUAUAUAGAAGUUAUAAAUAUAUAUACCGGGAUCAGACGAAAGUCUCCAUGUUUGUUCAAUGUUUACGGGACAUGGGCUGUGGUAGGAGUAAAUACAACUCGGGUUCUAUUAUUGACGAUCAAGAUAUUAAAGACAGCACACGUAAAAAAUCACAUAAACAGUUAGAAAGAAAGGAAAACAAGGAACCUGUGAAACCAAUAAAUAGUAAAGGUGGUAGUGCUGCCAAAAAAGAUAAAUUAACCAGUAAAAAAACAGAAAAAAUAGAAAACUCUCCAACCAAAUCGCAGAAUCCCUGGAUAAACGGAUCAUCACAGUCACCUAAAUUGGAAAGUUCAAAUGGUUUUAAAUCAGACAGGUUAACGACAGAAUCUCGAAGUAAAACUGCUUUUAAAGAUCGACAAUUAACAGGAAAUAAAACCAAUGUACAAAUAACUGGCAGUCAGUUGGAGUUUUUUCGUAUGCUAGAUGAAAGAAUUGAACAGGGAAAAGAUUAUUCAGAUGAGUGACAAACAAAAUAUAGCGGACAGUUUUAAAAAAUGAGUGUAACUAUGUUUACAUAUAAUAAAGAACUAUUGCUUGGUGAGAUAGUGACUCAAUAUUGUGACAAUCGGACGCCAUGUUUAAAUAAUGUGCUUAUUGUGCAAUACAAAAUGAGUGACUCCACGGAUUCCAUGGAUAAUAUAACUGAACUCUAUGGGAGACGAAAUAUGGGUUCCUCAAGAAAUAACUUGUGCUUUUUGCUUUUCCUAAGCUUCUCGUGAUCGAGGUUUGGAGAAUUCCCACCUACCCCCACCCUUUUUUUUUUUUUAUUGAAAACAAUCUUACAAAAUUUUAGUAUGAUUAGUCAACCUAACAAUUUUAAUCUUGUGUACAUAUAAUUCUCAUGGUUUUACUUUCAACACAAUUUUAGAUCAGGUACGUUAUAUCCACACCUUCCAUGGGUAUUUUACAUCACAUCUUCCAUAUAUUUUUGCAUUUUUCAAGAUUUCCUUAAGUUACAAGUCUUUCUAUGUGAUCUGUUUUUUUCUUGAUAAGUACAAUAGAAAUUAUUAGCUGUGUGAAUUCCAUUGAUUUAGGUAAAGAUAAAAAUUUAAUUUGGCGUGAUCUAUCGUAUAUUACGUUAUAUUACUAUAAUUCAAUCUUGGUUUGUGAAGACAAUACUGUUAAUGUUAAACAUGUGGUAGGUUAUAUGUAUCUCAAAUGUUGGUUUAAUCUGUGGACGAAGACUUUUUGCACAAAAACUUCAAGUUUACACAAAUCAAAUCUUUUAUUUUUGACCUAAAUCAAAGUGGUUGUUUGAUUUUCAAACAGUGUAAAAUUUCCACUUAAUUAAUACUUAGAAACCAUAAUUUGUACCUUAUCUAUUUCUCUAGGUGUUUCAUUUCUUACAUAACUCACUUUUUUAUUAGCUAAUUUAUUUAGAAAAUUAGCUAUAAUAUAACUUAUAAGGGAAGAUCACUUUUAUCACUAUAACUGCACUUCACCAAAGACUUGUGGCAUGUUUUAUUUCUCAAAAUCGAAAUCAAAGUUUUCUGAUUGAACAGACAUGAUCAAAAUAGGUUAAUUUGUUUUGAAAACCAGGAGCUUUAUUUUCUCAUGAAGAAUCAGAUAUAACAUUACAAUCAAUAAUUGCCAGUGGUCAAAAGUACAAGGCAGUAUAAUUGCCACAUGAAGGUGUUCGUGAAAGAGUAAGCAUACCCUGCUUAGUUGUUAUUUUCCUGGUAGUGAUCACCAUAAAACAAUAAUAGAUACUAGUAAAAAAAAUUUAUAUAUAUUAACCAAUAAAAACAAAGUGUUUUUGAAUUUUCUUAAAAUGGAGAUCAAGACAUGCCCCCAAUAUCACUGCUAUUUAUUAUUAUACAUAUUUAUAUUCAUUAAAUAAUACUUUGAUUGUCUCCCUUCAGUCAAAUCUUCUUUUAUUUACAUCCAGCCAAACAACCAUACACUUUUGUAAGAAGUAAUCCUCAUCAGUUUGGUUUAUUGUAUAUUUUAUAACGCUCUUAUUUUAUGUUAAAUUCCACGUUUCCAAAAGUUCAUGAUACAGCCAAUAUAUAAUAUUCUCAUCUUCAUUAUAUCAUACUGUCGAGCCAUCUGUCAGCAUUUGACAAGAUUUAAGAUCAAAUAUUCAACAACUAAAAUACAUAGAAGUGUAGCCUUGGAGUGGAGACGCAUAUGAAUAAAGUAUUAAAAUGCAUUAACAUUAUGAAAUGAUAUGAUGUUGAGAAAGUUAUCCAACCUUGAUGAUUAUUUCUAUGUCAUUUCACUGGUCUGGUGUAGGCUGAUAUUUUAUUCCUCGCUACAUGUGACUUCAUUUUAUACUAUUAUCAUUCAUGGGUGACAGUGGACAAAAGUUACAAAUAUCUAGUCAAAUAUAUAACCAUAAGUAUUUGUUAUACUUUAUCACUAAAUUCAGUUUUAAAAUAUUAUUAUUAUUUAUCAUGCCAAAGCUUUUUAGAUACAUACAUUCGCAUAUUUCUACAAGUUUUUAUACGCCCACAUUGGAAAUGUGGUCGUAUAUUGCUGUCGCCCCCGUCCGUACCUACGCCUGUCCAUCGUCUACAAUUUCUUAUGAACACUCUACAUUUAUCAUCUGAUUGUUUUGAAAUUGAUAUAUGUUGUUUACAUUAGUGAGAUGAAGAAGUCUAUUUAAUUUCAAUAAUUUUCGUUAAUUUCUUCUGGAGUUAUGGCCCUUGUUUCACUUUGUUGAUCCUUGUGAAUGCUCACAAAAGGUAUCAUCUGAUCUGUAUGAAAUUUAUAUGCAAGAGUUUAAAUUAGUGACACAAAGAAGCCUAUUGAAUUUCAGCAAUUUCUGUAAAUUACUCUAGAGUUAUGGCCCUUGUUUCACUUUGUUUAACCUUGUGAACGCUCCAACGACAAAAGUUAUCAUCCGAUCAGUAUGGAAUUUAUAUGCAUCAUUUAAAUUAGUGAAACGAAAAAGCCUAUUGAAUUUCAGCAAUGUCCUUUAAUUACGUCUAGAGUUAUGGCCCUUGUUUCACUUUGUUGAACCUUGUGAAUGCUCUAACAACAAAAGUUAUCAUCCAAUCUGUAUGGAAUUUAUGUGCAUCAUUUAAAUUAGUGAAGCGAAGAAGCCUCUUGCUUACUGUUAAUUAAGUCUAGAGUUAUGGCCCUUGUUUCAUUUUGUUAUUGUCCUUGUUUCACUUUAUUGAACCUUGUGAACGCUCCAACAACAAAAGUUAUCCUAUCUGUAUGAAAUUUAUAUGCAUCAUUUAGAUUAGUAAAGCAAAGAAUCACAUUGAAUUUCAGCAAUUUCCGUUAAUUUCUUGUGAAGUUAUGGCCCUUGUUUCACUUUGUUGUGCCUGAUGCUCUAAUGACAAUAGUUAUCAUCCGAUCUGUAUGAAAUUUACACAGAUCAUUUAAAUUAGUGACACAGAGACUCCUCAACAAUUUCCAAUAAUUACGACAAGAGGACCUUGUUUAACUUUGCUGAACCUUGUGAACAUUCGAAGGAAAGUUAUCAUCUGAUCUGUACAAAAUUUAUAUGCAUCAUUUAAAUUAGUGAAAUGAAGAAUCGUAUUGAAUUUCAGCAUUUUCAAAUAAUUACUUGUAAAAUUAUGGCCCUUUCGAACCUUGUGAAUGCUCAAAUGAUGAAAGUUAUCAUCCGAUCUGUAUGAAAUUUAUAUGCAUUAUUUAAAUUAGUGAAAUCAAGAAUCCUAUUGAAUGUUAGCAAUUACUUCCAGAGUUAAGGCCCUUAUUUCAGUUUGUAGAACCUUGUGAACCCACAAACGACAAAAAUUAUAAUCUGAUCUGUAUGAAAUUGUCUUGUAAAUAAAUGUCCCCAAUUAUCUACAAAAGAAUAAAUGUGCGACAACCCUUGUCGGCCGCUUAGACAAUUUAGCUGCUGUUGUUGCCUGGCAAACUAUUCUUGUCAGAUUGAUCAACUUUCAUCAUGUUUCUUUUUUUUUUAUGAUUGAAUAUUUUAUGGUAGACAGAUUUAUUUCAUGACAUUUUAAUUUUAUUUGAUUCGAUUGUGAUGUUUUAAUUUGAUUUGUUGUGUUUUUAUGAAAUGUUUAUUAUAUUUUACUUAUGUU